rnacentral:rRNA from 1 species
CCUAACACAUGACAAGGUCGAACGAAGUCGGGUUUUGGUGUAAGGUUUUCGGAUUUGGAACCGGAACUGACUGAGUUGGCGGGACGGGUGAGUAACGCGUGGUAACCUGCCUCAUACAGGGGGAUAACAGUUAGAAAUGACUGCUAAUACCGCAUAAGCGCACGGGACCGCAUGGUUUUGUGUGAAAAGCCGAGACGGUAUGAGAUGGACCCGCGUCUGAUUAGCUGGUUGGUGGGGUAACGGCCCACCAAGGCGACGAUCAGUAGCCGACCUGAGAGGGUGACCGGCCACAUUGGGACUGAGACACGGCCCAAACUCCUACGGGAGGCAGCAGUGGGGGAUAUUGCACAAUGGGGGAAACCCUGAUGCAGCGACGCCGCGUGAGUGAAGAAGUAUUUCGGUAUGUAAAGCUCUAUCAGCAGGGAAGAGAAUGACGGUACCUGAGUAAGAAGCCCCGGCUAACUACGUGCC